ACGUUAUAGUAUGAUUUUAGCAAUUUUUGUGCGAUCAAAACGAUCAGAAACACUGACCCCCGGCUAUUUCAAUAUGGGUUACAUUUUGUACGCUAUGGUUGAAUACUAGUUGGGCCAGAGUAGUCUUGCCAAGACCCCCCAUCCCAAUGAUAGAGAUGAUGCGGGGAUCACUAGCCUGUUUAAUCUUAAUAUCCAUAUAUAUAUAUAUUCGGCGAUCUAAACCAAGUUUCUUCAAUACCCUCGUCUCUCAAGACAACUUAACUGAUAUCAAUUUUGGAAGGUGCUGCGACAACUCAAUUAUAUAUCACACACUCCAGAGGUCCGAAGUGCUUCUACGUGGGCUGAAGAGGUUAUACAGCGUGCCUUGGAUUGCAAAAGCGAUGACUUGGCAUAAAAGAGCCAAGUCAACCGAUAAUCUGAUGCGCCAUCCAGCUGGAUUUCAUAAGGCUAGUGCAUUUGCAUCUGAGUUUGGUAUGCAGUCUACAGUCGAAACUCCAUGAUCCAGCGCCGCUUUGCACUGGGUAUUACAGUAAUAAUUUUUUCAAGCUCCACUGGAAUUCAAGGAAUAUGCCUCCAAAGUUGGCGUAGAUUUUGUCAGAAAAAUGGCUUGUACUAUUUAUGUGCCAUCAAGUUAGAAAGAGCAGCUGAAUAUUGUAAAGUGUUUGAUUGAGAUCAUAACUAUGGCAUCCAGGAGGCUAUCAUUUUCAUCAUGGGUAUCUCUAGGGGAUAUCCUAACACUAAGUUACUGAAACACAGUUUAUAUAAUUAAUAAAUCACAUUAUUUAAAUUCUUAUUGAAGUCCAACUUUCCUGUAGCUAUCAAUCAAUUAUUGCAGUACUUUGCAUGUGGAUUAGACACCUUAGUUGAAAUCAAAGGUUUCUUGGAGAGUUUCUCAGAAGAGCCUGCUCUGGUUCAGUUACAUUUGCUUACAGUCACUAUUAAAUUAUUUUACGAAGAAUCCAACAGAAGGCCCACAAAGAAUGAUUUAGGUUUGUUGCUUCAAUGCUUGAUAUUCAUGCUUCUGCAUUUUCAAUUGCACCAUUGCAGGUAGUCCUGAAUAAUGCUACUGUUGAGACAGACAAUCCAGUUCUGCGUGAUCGGGCUAUAAUUAUUUGCAAGUCUAACACGGUAUUGCCAGGCUGUAAGUCCACAGAAAUAAUCAUUUUCAGAUAAUAAAUAUAGUGGAGAUGCCUUCAAGUCAAACACGGUAUUUGCCAGGAUUUAAAUGUUAGGAAGAACGUACAAGUUUAAGCUUCUCGCAAAAACCAUCAAAAAGGAUGGGCGACUAAAAGAUACCUUGACACUAUUAACGAAUUUAGUUUCGUUUUCUUGUAUUUGUAAAGAAAGAAAUGAUCUAAUCUUUAUCUGUUCGAUUCUUUGCUUGUUUCAAAAGCAUAUUAGUAAUGAUAUU